GAUGAACGCUGGCGGCUUGCUUAACACAUGCAAGUCGAACGAAGCACCUUGAUUUGAUUCUUCGGAUGAAGAUCUUGGUGACUGAGUGGCGGACGGGUGAGUAACGCGUGGGUAACCUGCCUCAUACAGGGGGAUAACAGUUAGAAAUGACUGCUAAUACCGCAUAAGCCCACGGAACCGCAUGGUUCUGGGGGAAAAGGAGCAAUUCGCUCUGGGAUGGACUCGCGUCCGAUUAGCUAGUUGGUGAGGUAACGGCCCACCAAGGCGACGAUCAGUAGCCGACCUGAGAGGGUGACCGGCCACAUUGGGACUGAGACACGGCCCAGACUCCUACGGGAGGCAGCAGUGGGGGAUAUUGCACAAUGGAGGAAACUCUGAUGCAGCGACGUCGCGUGAGUGAAGAAGUAUUUCGGUAUGUAAAGCUCUAUCAGCAGGGAAGAAAAUGACGGUACCUGACUAAGAAGCCCCGGCUAACUACGUGCCAGCAGCCGCGGUAAUACGUAGGGGGCAAGCGUUAUCCGGAUUUACUGGGUGUAAAGGGAGCGUAGACGGCGACGCAAGUCUGAAGUGAAAUACCCGGGCUCAACCUGGGAACUGCUUUGGAAACUGUGUUGCUAGAGUGCUGGAGAGGUAAGCGGAAUUCCUAGUGUAGCGGUGAAAUGCGUAGAUAUUAGGAAGAACACCAGUGGCGAAGGCGGCUUACUGGACAGUAACUGACGUUGAGGCUCGAAAGCGUGGGGAGCAAACAGG
rnacentral:rRNA from 1 species